GGGGCCGCACAAGCGGCGGAGCAUGCGGAUUAAUUCGAUGCAACGCGAAGAACCUUACCAAGGCUUGACAUACACCGGUAACGCCCAGAGAUGGGUGCCCCUUUGUGGUCGGUGUACAGGUGGUGCAUGGUUGUCGUCAGCUCGUGUCGUGAGAUGUUGGGUUAAGUCCCGCAACGAGCGCAACCCUCGUCCUAUGUUGCCAGCGGGUCAUGCCGGGGACUCAUGGGAGACUGCCGGGGUCAACUCGGAGGAAGGCGGGGAUGACGUCAAAUCAUCAUGCCCCUUAUGUCUUGGGCUUCACGCAUGCUACAAUGGCCGGUACAAAGGGCUGCGAUACCGCGAGGUGGAGCGAAUCCCAGAAAGCCGGUCUCAGUUCGGAUUGGGGUCUGCAACUCGACCCCAUGAAGUCGGAGUCGCUAGUAAUCGCAGAUCAGCAACGCUGCGGUGAAUACGUUCCCGGGCCUU
rnacentral:rRNA from 1 species